UAUCAGAAGUGGGAUUCGAACCCACGCCCACAUCAGUGGACCAGAACACCCAAUUCCCGCUACACGGGAUAAGAUUUACUCUUGAGUCUGGCGCCUCAGACCACUCGGCUAUCCUGAC
rnacentral:tRNA from 1 species